GAGAGUAGGAAUAUUCAAACCCUGCUUCAGACCUGGCAACAGCUGAAGAACUGUGGCUAGCCUUCAAUUGCCAAAUUGAAGAGCAAGAGCAGAUUUUCACAACAGAAGUCAAACUGCACAUCACAGCGUGAAGUCAGAAACCUGCGACUGUAAACUGUAAGCCAUUGUGAUUCUGUCACUGGAAACACCCAGCAUCUACUUCUUCAGUGAAACAAGUUACAGGUGUACAAUGUUUCACUACUGCAUCACAAGGAAAUCGAAGGUGACAUGGAAAAUUUGGACUCUCAAGAUUAUCCUCCAGUCAGUCAAGAAGAAUUUGGAAAAAGGAGAGCAGACCUAUCUUCAUUCCUUUGGCUGUAAAAUUCAGAAUAUGAGAAGGAUCAAAAGCUUUGUACCUUGGCAAGACAGCAGGAAUCAUUCCAGAAUUUGUGGAAUUUUGCAGAUGCUGCACUGAAGCUAAAAAGGGCGGAAAGAUGUUGUGGAAUUUCCCACUGCAACAAAAUAACACAGAAAAUAUUUGAC